UGCAUUUGAAGCCCAUGAGGAUGAGAACCUCCGGGGGCGGGGAGGUUCGACUCAAGCGAAGCGAGAGAACGUUGCGCCAGCAACGGCCCGCAGGGCGAGCCACGAAGUGGCGAGUAAUCCUCUAUCACCGACCA
rnacentral:sRNA from 2 species